rnacentral:rRNA from 1 species
UUGAACGCUGGCGGAAUGCUUUACACAUGCAAGUCGAGCGGCAGCGCGGGGGCAACCCUGGCGGCGAGCGGCGAACGGGUGAGUAACAUAUCGGAACGUACCCAGACGUGGGGGAUAACACAUCGAAAGAUGUGCUAAUACCGCAUACGACCUGAGGGUGAAAGGGGGGGAUCGCAAGACCUCUCGCGUUUGGAGCGGCCGAUAUCGGAUUAGCUAGUUGGUGAGGUAAAGGCUCACCAAGGCGACGAUCCGUAGCUGGUCUGAGAGGACGACCAGCCACACUGGAACUGAGACACGGUCCAGACUCCUACGGGAGGCAGCAGUGGGGAAUUUUGGACAAUGGGGGCAACCCUGAUCCAGCCAUUCCGCGUGAGUGAAGAAGGCCUUCGGGUUGUAAAACUCUUUCGGCAGGAACGAAACGGUGAGCUCUAACAUAGCUUGCUAAUGACGGUACCUGAAGAAGAAGCACCGGCUAACUACGU